CCAAUUUGGAGAGUUUGAUCCUGGCUCAGGACGAACGCUGGCGGCGUGCCUAAUACAUGCAAGUCGAGCGGAUCUUUUUCUUCGGAAAACGCUUGGUUAGCGGCGGACGGGUGAGUAACACGUGGGUAACCUGCCUGUAAGACUGGGAUAACAUCCGGAAACGGAUGCUAAUACCGGAUACGCGGUUUGGUCGCAUGACUGAACCGGGAAAGAUGGAGCAAUCUAUCACUUACAGAUGGACCCGCGGCGCAUUAGCUAGUUGGUGAGGUAACGGCUCACCAAGGCGACGAUGCGUAGCC
rnacentral:rRNA from 1 species